rnacentral:tRNA from 1 species
CGGCCGUGGUGGGCAAGAAGGUGCUGGCCGGCCUGGGGCUGGACCAGGUGCGCAAUGCCGGCAGCGGCUCGGCCCCGCUGCCGGCCGA